rnacentral:rRNA from 1 species
GACGAACGCUGGCGGCGUGCUUAACACAUGCCAGUCGAACGGAAAGGCCCUGCUUUUGUGGGGUGCUCGAGUGGCGAACGGGUGAGUAACACGUGAGUAACCUGCCCUUGACUUUGGGAUAACUUCGGGAAACUGGGGCUAAUACCUGAUAGGAGCUCCUGCUGCAUGGUGGGGGUUGGAAAGUUUCGGCGGUUGGGGAUGGACUCGCGGCUUAUCAGCUUGUUGGUGGGGUAGUGGCUUACCAAGGCUUUGACGGGUAGCCGGCCUGAGAGGGUGACCGGCCACAUUGGGACUGAGAUACGGCCCAGACUCCUACGGGAGGCAGCAGUGGGGAAUAUUGCACAAUGGGCGGAAGCCUGAUGCAGCAACGCCGCGUGCGGGAUGACGGCCUUCGGGUUGUAAACCGCUUUCGCCUGUGACGAAGCGUGAGUGACGGUAAUGGGUAAAGAAGCACCGGCUAACUACGUG